CACAGACUCGGGUCUAGAAGUCUAUCAUGCUACCAGAUAGAUUUCCCCACCAGUUGAAUGCUGUGGUCUGUGGACUCCUGCUUCUCUUCUGCCAUGUACAGGGCCAAGACUCAGCCAGCCCCAUCAGAAAUACACACACAGGCCAGGUGAGAGGCAGCCUUGUCCAUGUGAAAGAUACAGAAGUUGGUGUCCACACCUUCCUGGGAAUCCCCUUUGCCAAGCCUCCUGUAGGACCACUGCGCUUUGCACCUCCUGAGACCCCUGAACCGUGGAGUGGUGUGAGAGAUGGGACAUCCCACCCUGCCAUGUGUCUGCAGGAUAUUGAUGGACUGAAUUCAGAAAAUCUGAAAAUUAAGAUGAACAGGUCUCCUGUCUCUAUGUCUGAAGACUGCCUAUAUCUCAGCAUCUAUACACCAGCCCAUGCCCAUGAGGACUCUAACCUGCCUCACAGGAGAUGACCAUGCCAGAGGCAACUGGGGAUACCUGGACCAAGUGGCUGCCCUACGCUGGGUCCAGCAGAACAUCGCCCACUUUGGAGGCAAUCCUGACCGGGUCACUAUUUUUGGCGAGUCUGCAGGUGGCACAAGUGUUUCUUCACAUGUUGUGUCCCCCAAGUCCCAAGGGCUCUUCCAUGGUGCCAUCAUGGAGAGUGGGGUGU
rnacentral:lncRNA from 1 species